AAUAGCGCCUCCGUAAACCGCUUUACCCGACGCAAAUGUCCCGAUGUCGGCCGCGAAACCACCAGGGUACCCGCCAGUUAUGGAGGAAUUUUUUUAGAUUUUCAACCCGCCCAAAGUGAUCGAAAUUCGGACCCCAGACUUGGGCAAACCACGCCGAAUCAUGGAGCCACGGAUAAUCUUUAAUUCGACUGGAGGAAGUUUUCCUUAAGCGGGUCCAUAAACCGCUUAACCCGAUGAAAGCGGGUCGCGCAUUCGCCAGGUCAGGACAUUUUUGGAGUAUGAAAGGGGCUUAAGUGACUUAAAAUAGUUAGUCACACAAGUAUGAUGUACAUUAAUUUGAUUUAGUCGUACACUGCCGACGCCAGGUGGCAUAGAAAAGGCAAGGGGAAAACAAAACAUGAGUUUUAGAUUUUUUAUGAAUGUUUUUUUCUUUUCUUUGUAGGACAAUAUGCUGGUCAAGGUGAGAUUUGGUUCAAGUCAGAAGUAUGUUAAGGUGGCAGAAACCGAAGCAGGCUAUGAAGACUACAAUACAUUUAUUGAGAAAGUAAUAGGAAAGUUAGGUCUUCCUCUACAGACAGACUUGCACGUGACAGAUCAAUCAGGGACAGAGGUGGAUGCAGAUGUGUUUGAGGAACUCUUACAAGCAGGGGAUCUUACCGUCAAUGUGUCCACAGAAAAGUCUGGAGUUGUGCUUCAACCAGAUCAAGCAGAAAUUUCUUUUGAGUCGAAUGUGUCAGACACCGUAUCCUCUGUGCCUUCUGAUUCAUCUGAUGCAACAAUAACUCUUGAGAACGAUGGUGGGAGGAAAAGGACCCACGACGAUCGGGAAUCAGCU